AGAGUUUGAUCCUGGCUCAGAAUGAACGUUGGCGGCAUGGUUUAGGCAUGCAAGUCGAGCGCGAUAGAUCCUUUGCUUGCAUUGGAUCUGGAAAGCGGCGAAAGGGUGAGUAACGCGUAGUUACUUGCCUCAGGGUUCGGAAUAGCCACGGGAAACUGUGGGUAAUGCCGAAUAAUAUCUCCGGAUCAAAGGUGUGAUUCCGCCCUGAGAGAGGACUGCGUACUACUAGCUUGUUGGUGGGGUAAUGGCCUACCAAGGCUGCGAUGGUUAGCGGGCGUGAGAGCGUGGCCCGUCACACUGGGACUGAGACACUGCCCAGACACCUACGGGUGGCUGCAGUCGAGAAUCUUCGGCAAUGGACGAAAGUCUGACCGAGCAAUGCCGCGUGCGGGAUGAAGGCCUUCGGGUUGUAAACCGCUGUCAGUUGGGAG
rnacentral:rRNA from 1 species